rnacentral:rRNA from 1 species
UACGGAGGGCUCUAGCGUUAUUCGGAAUUACUGGGCGUAAAGCGCACGUAGGCGGCUUUGUAAGUUAGAGGUGAAAGCCUGGAGCUCAACUCCAGAACUGCCUUUAAGACUGCAUCGCUUGAAUCCUGGAGAGGUGAGUGGAAUUCCGAGUGUAGAGGUGAAAUUCGUAGAUAUUCGGAAGAACACCAGUGGCGAAGGCGGCUCACUGGACAGGUAUUGACGCUGAGGUGCGAAAGCGUGGGGAGCAAACAGG